GUUGUUCAUGAUGAUGCUUUUUAAGCUUGUUUGAGUUUUACAACUUUGAGAAAACAUAACAUGCACUACCAUCUGAAACAAA